UACCUAGGGACCCAGUAAGGAGCAGGAGACCCCAGACCUAAAUAUUACUAUUGGUCCAAACUACUGCGUGAAGGGCGGAGAGCUUAGAUUGGAAAGUAUAAUUGCCCAGGGAUUUCUUUGUUCGGGGUCCCUCUUCGGAGGCACCCAACUCGAGCUGUAACCACUGCACACGUGUCAUUACAAUUUAUUUAUUUAAUUUGCCUUGAUUUGGCUCCGAACUUUUCAGCGGGAACCUAGGGUCAGACCCUGCUCGAGUUGUAAUUACUGCACGCGCAUCGCUAAAAUUUACACCCAGGGUGAAGAGGACCAACGGGACACCGCUGGAUCCAUGGGUGGUGAUAUCUCUUUCUCUCUCCCCCUUUCUCUCUCUCUCUCUCUCCCCCACUUUCUCUCUCACCUCCCCUUAGCCUUUCCCCACCUUUUCUCCACACUCCAUGGAAAACAAAGUUAAAAGGUGGUACGAUAUUUGAUCGGUUUUAACAUCUUAAUCUCGUCCUUGGGAUCGUAACGACCCCCCCACCCCGAUACCAGAUCGGAUCGGGACACAACUAAACAUAAGUUAUCAGAGGAGAAUCUCUCCAAUUUUAAACUGGGGGUGAAAAAUAACGCAGGUAUUUCAGAGAUAAAAAUCAAUGGUUUCAGUUGUUUUGGUUUUAUUGCUUUUUCUUUCUAAUUUUUCAGUUUUGGGUAUUUUAAAGAUAUUAAUUUCUGACUUUUUCUAAUAUUUGGUAACUGAAAAAUUUCCUAUGGAAAAGAUCUUAUUUUCUGGAUAGUUCUACCUGGAUAUGUUCUUCCUCCUCUUGCCUCCCCAGCUCCAGGAUUUUUAGACUUUGUUAAAGAAACACAAAUUUCUUCAAGAAUCACAAGCUGUAGCGUGAUGAGUCUGGUCAGCUGAAGAUGCUGUGAAUAUCCCACAGAUAUAGGAGCUUCCCAAUCCAUUUUUCCACAACAGCACUGUAAAUGCAAUCUGAAUGUUAAAACAAGUGUUAAAUUUGAUUACUCCUAUUAACAAUGGGAAAUCUUUUAAAAAAUGCAUUAAAUAUUCAUCUUGCAGGAGCCAGCAGUUGCUCUGAAUCUUUCACAAACUAAUCUGUACAAUCAACGUAUUUAAUACCUCUUUUAUAUUGCAAAAAGAGAGAAGCACAAGAGUGAGCAAGACAGUUGUUCUCAUCUCCAAUUCGUAGGGAAGAGGCUCUUUCCAUUUAGGAUAAUCAUUCUUCACCAGUGAAGGAGCUCUUUGUGCAGCUUUAACAGAGACACAAAAAUCGAGGUGAAUUACCAAGUAGAAACAAGAACUCAGAAAGAGGUGCAUCUGUAACAACAGAUCAAGUGGUAAGGGAAUAGGUUUCCUCCAUGACACAUGGAGCUGCUCCUACCAGCACUGAGUCCUGUGCAUUUGCCUUAGUAAGAGAUUCUGGGAAGCUUCAGACUUACUGUUUGGAAAAAACUUGGCAAAAGUCCACUUGGAUUUUCUUUCUAGCAACAUCUCAGGAGCAGCUUUCAUAUUGUCAAGCAGCAGAAACUUUCCACUACCUGGUGCCUCACGGCACCUGUGUUUGACUUGUCCACUGCAGUCCUGCCCUCCCCGGCUGCCCGCUGGGACACCAGCACUAUUUGUGCAGAGAAAAGGAUCAAGGUAGUGUGGCGCCUUCAGAAACGAAAAGACCAGUUUGUAAUCCCAGCGUAGACCCUGGUGCAAAAAACCUCCUGCAGAUCUGCACUCCACGCCACAGAGCUCAGUUUCCUAUUCACCUUGCCCCACAUCAGCCAGUCUCAAAUCAGCCUUCUUCCGCACAGCAAAACUGAUUGCUCGGCUGAUAGAAGUAGAAAUUCAUCGCUGAUUUCACUGGAAAAAGUGAACUAUCCUGCCCAAACAACUCCAAUACAAACUCAGUUUUCAGACAGUGAGAGGUAUUUGAAUGAAUAAGGAUGGCAGAACCAAGGAAAAGCAAACAAUAAGGCCUAUUUAGCAUGCCUUUUUUGGGGGGGGGGGGGAAUGAAAGAAAAAUUCUGUGUAUGAAGAUACAGUUAUUUCUAGUUCAAGAGACAAAUAGUUCUGAAUAGUUUUGACAUCAAAGUGCUAGAACUUGCUGUUUGUCCUGCAGAUCUUAAUUACACAGUCUAAACUGGUCAGAGAAGAGAAGAAUGCUUCUUUAAUUAACAGCCAACCUAAUGAAAAGGAAGAUAAAUACACAAGGUAUAUACACUUCCCAGAGCUUAUUCUGGUUCUCAUUGCAAUGUACUUUUGUAUGAGAUCACUUGUCUUGGAAAUUAUUCCAAACUUCAAUCUAGACAUGGCUGUUUAAGGGAUAUUGUUGAUUGUACCAGUUCCAAAGAAUAAAUUUAUUUCAGUCAAAAGAAACAUGUAUAUGUCAUGUAGGUUAUAUUGCAUAAGGAUUGUUUAUAUACUCUGUUUUACA